rnacentral:rRNA from 1 species
AGUCGCCGCGGUAAUACGAGGGGUGCAAGCGUUAUUCGGAUUGAUUGGGUGUAAAGGGUGUGCAGACGGCUUAUUAAGUCACUUGUUAAAUUCUUCGGCCUAACUGAAGGUCUGCAAGUGAUACUGAUGAGCUAGAGGGUGGAAGAGAGAAGUGGAAUUCCCGGAGUAGCGGUAAAAUGCGUAGAUCUCGAGAGGAACACCAAUGGCGAAGGCAGCUUCUUGGUCCAUUCCUGACGUUCAUACACGAAAGCGUGGGGAGCAAACAGGAUUAGAUACCCGCGUAGUCCCUGUCUCUUAUACA